UCUCGUUUAGGCAGUGGUCCGACUUAGGUCGAUAGCAAAUGCCAAGAAUUAGCUUUCAAAAGGUGAAACAAAAAGGCUUUUGGAAGCUGCUUCGUUGGGAGGUGGGGUAGGCUGCGUGGCACCUAAAUAAGACCUGCUCCCAAAGUUGCACAACAGUACCCUACUUCUAAGGCGUAUUCUCCGGCGAGCUAAUCGAAGGUUAAACGCAAACAAAGCGGUCAUCGAAAUGAGCUGGAUGUGAACGUUUCAACACGUUUAUUUCCGAAUUUCGGGAGGAAAUGUAGCCUGUUUUAUAAAUAUUUAUGCGAGGCUUAUUUGACGACCUUUUCGACUUUGGGAAACGUGACAUUAAGUCAGGAGAACUUCAGCCACCGACACCACCGCACAGAAGACUGUUUUAGGUGUCGGACGCCAGAGGAUAAGCCAGUUUUUUGACUGUUGUCACUUUACCGUAAUAGCAAACAAGGGCGUAGGAAGCAGGGGAGAUGAGGGGUAUUGGACUUCCCCAAUAUUUCCAAGAGGCAUUUUGUCUCCCCAAUAACAUACCUGAAUUUGUUUAAUUAUUAAUUACUCUUAGUGAAUAGCAAAUCAAGUGGGUUCCUGUGUCCCCCUUCUAUACUGACCUCUUCCCCACGCCCUGGGUUUCAUAAAUAUUAUGUGCUGUGGUGGUGCCUGAGGAAAUAAAAUGAUAGAAAAUACCGUCUAUAGUUCAAGAUGUUAUUUCAUAAUGGCUGUGGUGUCUUUUUUUAUGGCCGAUGUUCAUUUUCCCAGAGUGACCCUAACUAACAAUACUGUGUGGUUUAACUUCGUGAUCUACAAUUUUAUAUUGAAUUCCUUAUCUUUAAAAAAAAAAAAAACAUCACAUCUCUGUGCAACGCAGAGUAUCUGUAACCGAGAUCCAGCAGAGGGAUUUGGGCAAACGUCCACAUUCUUUCAGAGCUUCAAAGAACAAUCUAUUUUACAGCAGCAGAAGCGCGGGCCAGAAAUCUUAGGGAUCUGGGUUUUUAAAACUCCUCAGAGGAGGAGAUAUGCUAGCGUCGUUCUAAUGGGGGGGAGACAGAGACGUGGAGGAGACGCGCGGGAGUACAAUCGGCUCCUUGUGUCGUAUCUUCCCCCUUUGAAAAAUAAAUACAUAAAGCUGGGCGGCCCUCUCUUUGUGUGCGAGGGGAGCAUGGCGUGGGGAGACACAGGGCCAGGGCUUUUUGAGAAGCCUCUCACGUCCUUGGAUGCCUCCAAUUAAGCACACAAUUACCUCUGUGUUAUUCUUUUCAAACAAAAGUGCCUUGUACGUUACAAUAUUAUGAUAAGCUUCCAGAUCAAACAUUUUGCUGAAUUUACGAGAUCCUAUUCUAUUUUUACUUUUUUUAUAUAUAUAUAUUUGUAUUGAUGAUUCUUUUAUCGAAAUUGGCCCACUUUGUUCCUUUUGAGUAUUAGCUUUCACUUUUCCAUCCACAUUUCAAUUUGAUAUGAUCUGAAAAACACAUUGGCCAUGAGAAUGUGAAUUUGAAAAUCCUUUUUCCCCAUUCAUAUUAUGAAAAUAUAUGACAAACUAAACUUAAAAAUGAAAAAAAUGCCUUAUUUACUCUGUAGAAAUUCUAAGAAUUUGAGCAACAAAAACACUAAAGGUAAAAAUGAUAUUUAAAUGCAAGUAUUAGACGAUAAUAGUGUGAAUAAAGGCUUAUACUUGAUUGUGUCAGCUGUGUGAGAGCUCAUUUCCGCCUGGGCUGGAUAACCUGUGACGAUGCCCAAAGCUUGCCAGUAACUUGGCUCCAUAAAAAGAUCGAUGGCAGUGACCUUGUGGCAGAAUCUUUGUGAAUAAACAGUAAAAUAAACACAUCUGGGUUCAGUGAAGCGAGGGGGAAAGGCUAUGCGAGGUGGCACGUGUCUAUGAAGACAGGAAAAUGGGCUCCCUAAAAUUUUGCCCCAGGAAUAACUCCAUAUUUCAUUGGCUUUGCGAGGUGGCACGUGUCUAUGAAGACAGGAAAAUGGGCUCCCUAAAAUUUGGUCCCAAGAAUAACUCAAUAUUUCAGUGGCCACUCGCCGCUGCCAAUCAUCUUUUAGACGGCUGUUUCUUGCUUUAGGUACUUUAAGCCAAAUUGUCAUCAGCAAGACAAUCUUAGGCCAUAGGUUGAAAUAGCUCCUGGUCCGAGUGGUUUGACAAAUGUUCAAAUGUCUGUGAAGGGAGGAAAAAAAUGAAAGUUUAAGUCUAAUAAAGCCUAUAGGCCUAAUGAUAGUGACAAAUCAGAUUUUAGGUAGCCUAAUAAUUACGAAAACAACCUUUGUUAAUAAAAAGUAAGUCAAUCAAUUUUAGUCUAAGCAAUUCGGAAUACUCUAUAUUAAUUGGUGCUGUCACAGAUUCUCUCCUGCGAACGACACAUUUCCAAUAAAACCUUUAAGGCCAUCAAAAUUGAUUGUCAGCUUGAAAGGCAUUUUUUUUUUAUUGCACUAAAAGUGUGUAGGGACUUCUAUUUUGAAAUGGGGAUUGAGAUGAAUACACUGAGAAACAGAGAAGAGAGACUGACUUUUGGGGUUGGAGAUACUUUGGAGCGAACUAGCGACGAGGUCAGCUGGCCGGUAGAUAGAACGUGGUGUAGAGUCCGUUGGGUUAGUCGUAAGUUGAAGUGCUCAAUAAACUUGCAAGUUUGUGAAUUUAACUAAGCUCUGUGUCAGGUGUAGGCCUACGUUAGAUGCCCCCAGAUAUUUCAACAAUUACACAUUCACUAAUAAUAACAAUAUCCAAUCAACUGCGUUUAUUACGUUUUUUUAACGCGUUAAACAUUUCAAAUGAAUCACAAAAACGAGCACGGAAAUUUUUACAGCACUCAUUUUGAACAAUUUCAUAUUUUAAAUGGUCUUCAAUAGCA
ensembl:lncRNA